rnacentral:rRNA from 1 species
GACGAACGCUGGCGGCGUGCUUAACACAUGCAAGUCGAACGGAAAGGCCCUGCUUUUGUGGGGUGCUCGAGUGGCGAACGGGUGAGUAACACGUGUGUAACCUGCCCUUGACUUUGGGAUAACUUCAGGAAACUGGGGCUAAUACCGGAUAGGAGCUCUUGCUGCAUGGUGGGGGUUGGAAAGUUUCGGCGGUUGGGGAUGUACUCGCGGCUUAUCAGCUGGUUGGUGGGGUAGUGGCUUACCAAGGCUUUGAGGGGUAGCCGGCCUGCGAGGGUGACCGGCGACAUUGGGACUGAGGUAGGGCCCAGAAUGGAACGGGACGCAGCAGUGGAGAGUAUUACACAAUGGGGGGGAGCCUGAUGCAGCAGCGCCGGGUGCGGGAUGCCGGCCUUCGGGUUGUAAACCGAUUUGGCCUGUGCUGAAGAGUGAGUGACGGUAAUGGGUCAAGAAGCACCGGCUAACUACGUG